UACGGAGGGGCUAGCGUUGUUCGGAAUUACUGGGCGUAAAGCGCACGUAGGCGGCUUUGCAAGUCAGAGGUGAAAGCCCGGGGCUCAACCCCGGAAUUGCCUUUGAGACUGCAUCGCUAGAACGUCGGAGAGGUGAGUGGAAUUCCGAGUGUAGAGGUGAAAUUCGUAGAUAUUCGGAAGAACACCAGUGGCGAAGGCGACUCACUGGACGACUGUUGACGCUGAGGUGCGAAAGCGUGGGGAGCAAACAGGG
rnacentral:rRNA from 1 species